rnacentral:misc_RNA from 1 species
ACACCUCAACUCUCGUGGUCUUCCACGAUGAGCUUGGACUUUGGAGGUUUGCUGGCCCUGCGGCCGGCUCCUCUCAAACGAAUCAGCUUGCCAAUGUUUGGUGGCAUCACGGGUGUGAUAACUAUCUACGCUCGCGGUCGUCUGCCAGGUUACCCUCAGCGAUGAAGGUUCAUUGGGGCUCACAAACGUCUCUCCUCAGCGAAGACAACUUUUGAAC